UGUGUCCCUGCUGCUCGUCUGUGAGGUCGGUGUGGCCCUGUCGCCGGUGGGCCCGCUCCGCUAGCCGGUGACCCGCAGGUCCUGUCCCGGGUCUGAGGGCGCUGCGCCCGCUCCCCGCGCACUCCUGGUCUCCCAGAGCCUCGGGACUCCCUGUAGCCGGGGAGCCGCCGCCGCCUGGCCGCGUCCUGCUGACUCCUCUGGGCUCUCUCGGUGCGUUCACAGGUCUCAGGUGUGAUGCAAGGAGAACGAGUCCAGUCCAGGCAGAUGGAGACUUAGAGCAACCAUUAUGCAUAUUUGUAAUUCAAGAGGAAGUGUUUCAACUGCUGUCUGGUGUGUGGACCAAACAUUAUUCAUCUGCCUCCAAACUGCCCAGUGCUCUGCUUCCACUCCCGUCCCUCUUCCUGAUGUGGCUUCAUGGGCUCAGAGACGACAUUCCCUUAGACUUCCAGAAGCUGGAGAAGGAAAUGGUGAGUUCUACGGAGAACUGGGUUCUCCUUACCAUAAGCGCGUGAGGCUGGAUAUGAAUUGUUGGGGGAGCAGCUGUGUGCUGCGGGACUGGUUCCUCAAAGAAGAAGAAAAAUGGCAGAGGAGGCCAAGGGACUGAGCCCUAGGAGACACCCUGAUGCCCUGCUCCACUGCCACCGGACACUUCUUCUGUAGCCAUGUGGCUUUUCAAGACGUGAAUGCUGGGGUCACCUUCCUUCUUUGACUCCCAGAGCUGUCACCGUGGGGUGUUAACGUCCCCACCCUGGGCCUUGGUGCUCUGUGUUGAAUGACAGAGUCUGCUGACAAGAUCCUGAAGACGGAGCAGCUCUGGCUGUGGAGGCUGAGCCCCACCCUCCAGAGCCGUCCUUGGCCCAUCUCUCUGAGCAGUGUUCUUGACUCUCCCCAGGCACUGGAACAAUUUCUGUGCAGUUCUAAAACCACAGCUCCCCCUCUUACCCUGUGUUAUGGGCCAGAAAAGUGGGGGAGAGUUCGCAGGGGGAGACCCUGACUGUUCGUGGGGUCUUGGGUGAUGUGAGUGUUCUGAUGUCACAAAGGCAUGAAGCUGAGGACAAUGAGUCCAGCUGAGUCCAGCUGGGUCCUGUGUGGGGUCUCCAGACCCACUUUUCGCCUAAUGGGGAAGACUUUUGCCUUGAGGCAUUGAGUAUCCAGCAGGACUCUAAAUCAUCCAUGGUGUUGCUGGAGAAUAACAGCGAGGAUAACAACAAAACUAUUCGUAUGAACAGAAAUGGAUUUGUUAGGAAUUUAGCCUUCAAAGACAAACUGAUCUUCCUCCUGACCGUGGCUCAGCAUUCCACGUGGGCAACAUUGAGCAUGUGAUUGUCUCUAACUUUACUCAACGAGAAAAUGUUUGAAAUAUCUACUUAGGAGGCUUAUGAGGUAUAAAUGAGCUAAUGUGUUGCAAAUUGUUCUGCGAAACUUUUCACAAAUCAUACUUGCUCAGUACAUGGAAAAUUUUAUUAUCUUUGUUUAAUGAACGUUAGGGUUUUGAUCCUCGCCCGCUGCACUGGAGGAGACGUUUGGAUUUGGCUCUAGCUCAAGAGUUUGUUGUGAUCCCAUCACACCUGGAUUGAUAAGAAAUCACAUACACUGCUCACGUCACCCCUUCCCUAACAUGAGGAGUGUUCUUACUCUAAAACUGUUCUGUUUUACAGCCUUUGUUUUCCGCAGGACAUGAGGAAGCCAAGGAAUUGGUGCUAUUUCACAGAGGUCGCUCUUACAGAUCAGGGGAUUCGACUGGUCGGGGUUCAGGUAGUCAUGGUUGGGUGACUUCCAGGGGCUACAAAUAAGAGAGAAUUCUGGAAUGGAGCCUCUAGAGGGCUGAUGUGCAAGUCUUUGUUUCCUAGGCUUCGCAGGCAAUUUAAUAGGUAAACUCUCCACACUUCAACUUACGAAGUUGUUUUUGUGGUAGAAAUCAUACGUAACAAAAUAUUCGCCAGUUCAGUAGUGUUUACAUGUAUAACUUGGUCACAUUAUGUUUAUCAUGUUGUGCAAUCAUUAUAGGAUGGAAACAGUCUCUUUCCGGUUAGCAAACAGAAGGGCAUGCUGUUCUUGUUUAUGCAGAGGUAGUACUCUUUGUCAUAACAGUAGACUUUAUGUGAGGAUGUAUGAGUUUGAGGAAACAGUCACUAAUAAUUGAUGUACAGUUGCAUCCGGUCUUGAAAUUUGAGAAUUGUGUGGCGAUCUGGAUUCUCCUGUUUCCUGUCUCAUCGGAGCUCUUUAAACUUCUGUUACCUUUGCCUGUUUCUGAAAAGGACAGAACAUAACAGAGCGAUUUUUUCAAAAAAUAGGUGACUGACAUGUAAAAAUUCAUAAUUCUGCAAAAGAAUAUUCUUUUUUCAGAAAGUGAACCUGUCAUCUUCUGAUCUCCUAGAGUUCAAGAAAAUAUGACCAGCUCAGGGCCUUGGGUUGCCAGUUUCUGCGGGCUCUUGGUCCUCCUGUGGCUGUGAGUGGCAAAAUGAAAAGCUGCCAUUCUGCAGCGUUUCCCAGUUGUUAAUACCUCGUCUUGCGUUCACCCUUUGUUUUAUGUUUGUUGAGUGUUCUGGUGGGUCUUAUGGAAGGAGGUGUAAUUGUUUUUUCACAAGGAAGCGAUGAUCUGAAUGAACGUAUUUCUCUAAUUUUUGCUGUUUUCUAACUGUUCUAGGCCAUAAAGAGAGGAGUAAGCCUGCAGUGGGUCGAAAACCUUAGAGAGAUCAUUUCUGUUUGUUGAAAGUGUAUGAGACAGGAUGCAAUAAGUGAGGAAGUGAAUGUAGUUAGUGAAGGGAUAAGGCUGAUGGCUAUACCCAAGGGUAAACCUUGGUGGAACACAGAACUUUGUGUCAAAUCCCUUUGAAUUCUCAGUUCCCCAGGGCUAUCAGCGUCACUCUACAUUCUUGUACAUAAUUGAAGUACAUGGUACCUUGCUGAUCCAUAAUGUAUGGAAUGUUUUAUGACUCAGUGGUCUUUGAAGAUGUGGCCAUGGACUUUAGCCAGGAAGAGUGGGCUUUGCUGGAUCUUGCUGAGAGGAAACUCUACAGAGAUGUGAUGAUAGAAACCUUCAGAAACCUGGCUUAAAUAGGCAUUUCUUCAUGAGCACCAUGUCAGCUAUACCUGUUUGUUUUCCCAGAGAAGCAAGGGAAAGAUCUGAGGACAGUGGAAAUCGGACCCAUCCAGGGCCACUGUGUCGGGAAACACCAGGAAAGCAGGAAUUUUUGGAAGGACCAGCCCUGUAUGGAUGGAAUUACAUUUGAAUUAGUCAGCUAGAAAAAUUCUCUUUUGAGUCGUGGACAAAACUUCACAGAUACCAGAGCUUUUCUGACUUGAGCAAUUUUCUCACACCUGUGGUCAUGGAGACCGUUUUCUUCUUUGGAUGUUACAUGUGUAUUGUAUCCAAUAUCUUCCUUCUUGGUUGUCCUAACUACAGCUAUUUAUGUUACCAUCACUCUGUCCUCAUGGAAUUAUUUCCUAGUAAAUUGCUUUUUAACCAGUGCGAAUGUGCUAAAACAGUGAAAUGUGGCUGUCUUUUGUUCACAGCAUCCUUUUUCCGCUAAUGAUUCCUUUCUUUUUUGUUUCAUAUUGUGAAUCUCAACUUGAAUAUUUGGUCAGUCUCCCAAAAGCUUAGUGAUGGAGAAAAGUUAUACAGUGAACAUAUAAUGUUGCAAUACAUAGAGAAUAACACCUGGUUGCCUGUAUUAGGAAAAGUCUACAAAUUGCAUGGCAAUAUAGAUCGCCAUGAAAACCAGGAGAGACAUUUGAGAUGAGUAUAAUUCAAACAAGAAAAAACAGUGCCUCAGGGAAAGACCUAAUGUGUCGUGACGUUGAAGUACACAAAUAUAUAUUUAUGUAUGUAUAUUAGCACUUUUAGUCAGUUUGUAACAGUUCAGUAAUUGCCAACGUAAUGAGGGCAGCGUAUGCAUUGCAUAGGAACCAUAUCUGUUGUCUGUCAGAUUUUGACCCAAGUAGGAAACAGCAGUGCCCUACUCAAAGAUGGCAGCCAUUUGUGCCACUUUGAAUAUGUGUCACUCUCC